GCACGCCGAGGUAUUAUCGAUUUUUGCCUUUCAAAUAAAAAGAAAAUUUUGGAUGGUCGAGCAAAAUUCAGUGCUUUUAAGUCUUUGCCCUAUCCCUGUUUCACAGGAUGAGCAAAGAGGGGCAGCUGUAAUCACUGAAUUUUGCCCGAGUAGGAUUUCGGGCCGGGCUGGUCUCAUAUGGGCCCGAUAAUUGGGCCCAUUAGGAUUAAAUUUUGGGUUUGUUUUAACUCAUUUUUAAUUGUUUUAAUUUUUGUUUUAAAUAUUAAUAAAAUAGUCAUAAUGAAAUUUUGAAAAAUGAAAAAAAAACAAAACAAAAAAUAUAAAUUACAUUUUGGCCCCUGAACUUUUCUAAAUUACAUUUCAACCCCUAAACUUUUCUAAAUUACAUUUCAACCCCUAAACUUUCUCAAAAUUACACUUUGAGCCCUAUAUUUUCCUAAAAUUACAUUUUUGCCCCAGAAACUUUGCGCGCGUUACAUUUUGGUCCUUCUGGCAUGACAAGACGGCCCUCAAUCUGCGUUCUUGCGUGCAACGCCUUCCACGCCUGACACCUCCAAUCGGCCUUGCUUCCCCUUCUCUGCUGCCACCUGAAAACAAAGGAGAAGAGGACAAAACAAGGAGAUUAAAAAGAAGCAAAAGAGAGAAAUGGGGGGCAAAAAAAAAGAAUACAGAGAAAAAAAAGCUUCAAAAUUUCUAAGAUUCGGCUGAUUUUUCCUUAGGUCCUCAUCCACAUUCCUCAUUCAUCAAGAAAAAAACCAAACUCCACAAUCCACAAGCAAUCAAAACCAAAGAAAAUAGUAAAAAAAAGAGGCAAAAUAAACAACAAAUAUAGCAAGAUCCCGACCUUUAUCACGAUCACUUAAGGCGGAAGAGGAUCGAGUGGCGAACGGCGGUUUGGAGAGGCGGCGUUGCCUCUAGUUUCCGGGCUUUCGAAAGAGAAAGAAAAAGAAAGGGGGGAAGAGAAGAAAAAGAGAAAGCCAAAGGGAGAAGAUAUGAGAAGAUAAGGGAAAGAAGAGAAAAAAGAGGAGAGAAGAAGAGGAGAAAACGCCGAGGCUAGCACCACCGAGAGGAGGAGUCGACGGUGGCAGUGGGCGACGAAGGAGAAGCGACGCGGCUGGGCGCUCAAAGGAAUGAAAAAGCAAAGGGAAGAAGAAGAAGAAAGGAGAAAGAAAAAGAGAGAAAAAG
rnacentral:lncRNA from 1 species